GUUCGGGCCCGCGUCGCCCGCCCGCCCAGCGGCCCCGGAAUGCAAGUGAACUUGGAGAAAGUCGCGGGGCACGCCGGCCGGCCCUCCGCAGCAGGGCGUAGGCGCUCCUGGGCCAGCGCGCUUUCGUUUUCUUCUGGGACAAAGGUCCCUCACCGCUUUGGUCGCGGACGCAGUGACCGGGUCCCGCGGGCCACUCUUCAGCGCAGGCCGGUGGCUAAAUACAGUGAAGCCGGAGCCCGAAGGAAAGCCGCAGCGCGGCUCGGGGCCGAGGAGAUGGGCCCUGGGCCGUGCGCUUCGCCGGUGUCCGCCCGGAACCGUCCCACCCUGCCAAGAGUUGCGGGAGCUGGCACCGCUCUGCUCUCCGCCGCUUCGACGCGGGAAAGAGGGAAGCGUUUGGAACCCAGGACUCAGACCCGCGGCCGCGGGCCUGUGCAGCCGAGGCAGCGUUAGCGCAGCGCAGGCUGCAGUCAGGCGCGGUCCUCGGGCAAGGGCAGGGCUGUUGACCUGUGUGCCCCAGGUCACGAUCGGAUCGAGUUCAAGGCGAUCCUGAGGACGGCCAACAGGCUGGAUGCGGCCGGCAGAGGAAGGCCCGAGCGUCGGAGGUGGCAGUCCUCAGGGCUGCUUAGCGAGGGCUACUAUUUGCCAAGCUCCAGAGUCCCAUCUCCUGCCACAGAGUGUGCCUCUGGUCCAUGAAAUGGGACGGGGUCGAGAUUCUACAGCAAACAGUGGAGCCCUGAGGACGGAGGCCCUGCCUGGCCCCGGCAAGGCCCUGUCCUGCCUUUGUCCACGUUCCUUAGAGCCAGCUCAGUUCAGAUGGAAACUCAGGCUCCCACAGGGGGCUUCUUACCAUGUUGGAAUAGCCCAUCCCAGCAAAAUUUGUUUUUGAGGGCACACACACAAAAGAAGAGGCUUUGAAAAUGAAACUGGCGCUUGUUAGUUUUUUCCCACUUCUGGAUUUAAUAUAAAGAGUGUGGUAAGCAGGGGGCCAGGGUCACAUGGACGGUGGUGUGGGCUGGUGGGAGGACGGGCUCUGGUUUUUCUGUUUUUGUUUUAGACCAGGGCCAACCUCAGGAUGGCCCUCGGCUUGUGCUAGGGCCUCGCCAUGUCCCAGACCCUCCUGGGUAAGGGGUCUCCAGGUGCUAGUGGGGGCUGGCUGGGCUCGGCUUGGAGCAGUCUGUGGCAGUGGGACUGGCCCCUCCCCUGUGGCCAGGUCUCAUGCCUGCCGCUCGAACAGGUGCAGGCCAGCAGUUUGCUUUGCUCAGCAGGAACAGCGUGGUGCUUUGCAGCAGGGUUACUUUUCAUGUGUGGUUUGCACCUGGCCAGAGCAGACUCUGUGUAAACCUGUCUCACUCGCUCCCAACCCCUGAAGGGCUCUGGGGCCUGUCCCACCACAGUGUGGAUGAGGCCUGAUGGGAAGGCAGAUUUUGUGGCCCAGGGAAGGGUGGGAAGGGUUUGCCCAUCCAGAUGGACACCCUGCCUGGGCGGGUGCUCUCUUGUGUCCAGGGGAACCUCCUGCAAGGCAGAUACAUGCCUCUACUGAGGGACAAUGUUUAGCGAGGGAGGGGGCCCUUUCAGGCCAGGCAAGAAACAUCUUAAAACCACCGUGCUUCAUUUGUGUGUUGUUGCUGGGUUUGGAGGAUAUUUGCAUAUUUGGGAAGAAAGGGAAAAUACUUCUGCAGAAAUCUCAGUAAGCUAGAGUGUCCUAGCUUAUGUCAGGGCUUCAAUCUUUCCCUGCCCCUGGCUCACUUGGCCACCCUGGGCAAGCCACAUCACCUCUCUGAGCCUGGACCCUGAGCUCUAAAGCAGGAGGAGUAAUACCAACCUCAGAGGAUUCAGACGACAUUAUUUCCAUGAAGCACGGUUCCUUGCACGUGGUCAUUGGGAGGCCAUGAAUGGCUACAUCAUUGUUGUCGUAAAUGACAAUUGCUAUUUUUGUGGCCAAUCAUUAUUAUUUAUUAUUACAAUUAUAUACAAUUAUUAUUGUGUUA